UUUGACGGUGGGUGUCCCAUUUUUAUCCGCUACUCUUUAUUUCAUGGAGUCGUAUCAACGCUAUGAACGCAAGGCUGUGAUAUGGAACCAGAAGGCUGUCUGAACUUUUGAAACCUUGUGUGGGAUUGAUGGUGGUGCCGAGGCAUGAAAGGCUAGUAUGAGCGAGAAAAGGAGAGAGCGCGUGCAGAGACUUGGUGGUGCAUAAUGGAUAUUUUUUAACUUGGCGAGAUGUGUCUCUCAAUCCUGUGGCUUUGGUGAGAGAGUGUGCAGAGAGCAAUGAUAGCAAAUAAUGUACGAAUGUUUUUUGCAUUCAAAGGACAUCCACAUCUGUUGGAAGACUUUUAACCCUGAAUGCAAAGAAUUCAUAGCAGUUAAUUCCCCUUUUUUGACCCUUUUGAGAUGGAACUUUCAUAAAGUUUCUUGGCAGUAGUUUA
rnacentral:lncRNA from 1 species